rnacentral:lncRNA from 1 species
CACGGAGGAACCUCUUCAAUGGCUGUUUCGCUUAGAUAGAGCCAUUGGAUGUUGGUAGAGAUAUCAGGAAAUGUCCUCAACCUUGAGCACCCACUGAGAUUUAGUUCCCUGAGAGAUUGGAGGUUGAUUCCGGUGGGAAGAGUCUCCAGAUUUAUGCAUCCCUUCAUCUUUAGGAUUUCAAGCUUGGAGAAUUUCUCAAUCCAACAAGGAACCUCUUCAAUAGCUGUUUCGUUUAGAUUGAGCCUUACGAUAUUGGUUGAGAUAUUAGGAAAAGUCCUCAACUUUGAGCAUCCACUCAUCUUUAGCUUCAAAAGACAAAAGAAAAAUUUCCCAAUCCAACAAGGAACCUCUUCAAUCCCUGUUUCGCUUAGAUUGAGCCUUCUGAUAUUGGUUGAGAUAUUAGGAAAAGUCCUCAACUUUGAGCAUCCACUGAGAUUGAGUAUAUCAAGAUAUCGGUGGUCCAGAUCUAGAACAGUCUCCAGAUUUAUGCAACCAUUCAUGUAUAGGACUCUAAGCCGGGAGAAUUUCUCAAUCCACCAAGGAACCUCUUCAAUGGCUGUUUCGCUUAGAUAGAGACAUACGAUGUUGGUAGAGAUACCAGGAAAAGUCCUCAACCUUGAGCAUCCAUUAAGAUAUAGAAACGACAGAGUUUGGAGGUUGAUUCCGGUGGGAAGAGUCUCCAGAUUUAUGCAAUCAUUCAUGUAUAGGACUUCAAGCCUGGAGAAUUUCUCAAUCCAACAAGGAACCUCUUCAAUCUCUGUUUCGUUUAGAUUGAGCGUUU